GGGGAAUCUUGCGCAAUGGGCGAAAGCCUGACGCAGCAACGCCGCGUGCGGGAUGACGGCCUUCGGGUUGUAAACCGCUUUCAGUAGGGACGAAAUUGACGGUACCUGCAGAAGAAGCUCCGGCCAACUACGUGCCAGCAGCCGCGGUAAUACGUAGGGGGCAAGCGUUGUCCGGAUUCAUUGGGCGUAAAGAGCUCGUAGGCGGCUUGGCAAGUCGGGUGUGAAAACUUCAGGCUCAACCUGGAGCGGCCACUCGAUACUGCCAUGGCUAGAGUCCGGUAGGGGACCACGGAAUUCCUGGUGUAGCGGUGAAAUGCGCAGAUAUCAGGAGGAACACCGGUGGCGAAGGCGGUGGUCUGGGCCGGAACUGACGCUGAGGAGCGAAAGCGUGGGGAGCGAA
rnacentral:rRNA from 1 species